rnacentral:rRNA from 1 species
UACAGGGGGCUCGAGCGUUACGCGGAAUCACUGGGCUUAAAGGGUGCGUAGGUGGCUUGCAAAGCAUUACGUGAAAGCCCCGGGCUCAACCCGGGAAUUGCGCGAUGUACUGGCAAGCUUGAGUUAUGUAGGGGUUGACGGAACAGUGGGUGUAGCGGUGAAAUGCGUAGAUAUCCACUGGAACGCCGAUGGCGAAGACGGUCAACUGGGCAUAUACUGACGCUGAGGCACGAAAGCGUGGGGAGCAAAC